rnacentral:rRNA from 1 species
UACGUAGGGUGCGAGCGUUAAUCGGAAUUACUGGGCGUAAAGCGUGCGCAGGCGGUUUUGUAAGCCAGAUGUGAAAUCCCCGGGCUCAACCUGGGAAUGGCAUUUGGGACUGCAAGGCUCGAGUUUGGCAGAGGAGACUGGAAUUCCUGGUGUAGCAGUGAAAUGCGUAGAUAUCAGGAGGAAUACCGAUGGCGAAGGCAGCCCCCUGGGUCAAGACUGACGCUCAUGCACGAAAGCGUGGGGAGCAAACAGG